rnacentral:rRNA from 1 species
GACGAACGCUGGCGGCGUGCCUAAUACAUGCAAGUAGAACGCUGAAGAGAGGAGCUUGCUCUUCUUGGAUGAGUUGCGAACGGGUGAGUAACGCGUAGGUAACCUGCCUUGUAGCGGGGGAUAACUAUUGGAAACGAUAGCUAAUACCGCAUAACAAUGGAUGACACAUGUCAUUUAUUUGAAAGGGGCAAUUGCUCCACUACAAGAUGGACCUGCGUUGUAUUAGCUAGUAGGUGGGGUAACGGCUCACCUAGGCGACGAUACAUAGCCGACCUGAGAGGGUGAUCGGCCACACUGGGACUGAGACACGGCCCAGACUCCUACGGGAGGCAGCAGUAGGGAAUCUUCGGCAAUGGGGGCAACCCUGACCGAGCAACGCCGCGUGAGUGAAGAAGGUUUUCGGAUCGUAAAGCUCUGUUGUAAGUCAAGAACGAGUGUGAGAGUGGAAAGUUCACACUGUGACGGUAGCUUACCAGAAAGGGACGGCUAACUACGUGCCAGCAGCCGCGGUAAUACGUAGGUCCCGAGCGUUGUCCGGAUUUAUUGGGCGUAAAGCGAGCGCAGGCGGUUUGAUAAGUCUGAAGUUAAAGGCUGUGGCUCAACCAUAGUUCGCUUUGGAAACUGUCAAACUUGAGUGCAGAAGGGGAGAGUGGAAUUCCAUGUGUAGCGGUGAAAUGCGUAGAUAUAUGGAGGAACACCGGUGGCGAAAGCGGCUCUCUGGUCUGUAACUGACGCUGAGGCUCGAAAGCGUGGGGAGCGAACAGGAUUAGAUACCCUGGUAGUCCACGCCGUAAACGAUGAGUGCUAGGUGUUGGAUCCUUUCCGGGAUUCAGUGCCGCAGCUAACGCAUUAAGCACUCCGCCUGGGGAGUACGACCGCAAGGUUGAAACUCAAAGGAAUUGACGGGGGCCCGCACAAGCGGUGGAGCAUGUGGUUUAAUUCGAAGCAACGCGAAGAACCUUACCAGGUCUUGACAUCCCGAUGCUAUUUCUAGAGAUAGAAAGUUACUUCGGUACAUCGGUGACAGGUGGUGCAUGGUUGUCGUCAGCUCGUGUCGUGAGAUGUUGGGUUAAGUCCCGCAACGAGCGCAACCCCUAUUGUUAGUUGCCAUCAUUCAGUUGGGCACUCUAGCGAGACUGCCGGUAAUAAACCGGAGGAAGGUGGGGAUGACGUCAAAUCAUCAUGCCCCUUAUGACCUGGGCUACACACGUGCUACAAUGGUUGGUACAACGAGUUGCGAGUCGGUGACGGCAAGCUAAUCUCUUAAAGCCAAUCUCAGCUCGGAUUGUAGGCUGCAACUCGCCUACAUGAAGUCGGAAUCGCUAGUAAUCGCGGAUCAGCACGCCGCGGUGAAUACGUUCCCGGGCCU